rnacentral:rRNA from 1 species
AGCAGCCGCGGUAAUUCCAGCUCCAAUAGCGUAUAUUAAAGUUGUUGCAGUUAAAAAGCUCGUAGUUGAAUUUCAGGCCUGGCUGGGCGGUCCGCCUUUUGGGUGAGUACUGCCUGUGGUCGGGUCCUACCUUCUGGCGAAGCGUCAUGGCCUUAACCGGCCGUGGCGGGGAACCAGGACUUUUACUGUGAAAAAAAUUAGAGUGUUCAAAGCAGGCAUUCGCUUGAAUACAUUAGCAUGGAAUAAUGGAAUAGGGCAGUGGUUCUAUUUGUUGGUUUCUAGGACCGUUGUAAUGAUUAAUAGGGAUAGUUGGGGGCAUUAGUAUUCAAUUGUCAGAGGUGAAAUUCUUGGAUUUAUUGAAGACUAACUACUGCGAAAGCACUUGCCAAGGAUGUUUUCAUUAAUCAAGAACGAAAGUUAGGGGAUCGAAGACGAUCAGAUACCGUCGUAGUCUUAACCAUAAACUAUGCCGACUAGGAAUCGGGCGAUGUUGACAAAAAUGACGCGCUCGGCA